CUCAGCAGUCGUCACGCAGGGACUUUAGUGACUCUAGAUAACCUCGGGCCGAUCGCAUUCGGAUGUCCUGUCAACUUUCGCUGGUACUUUCUGCGCCUACCAUGGUGACCAUGGGUAAUGGGGAAUCAGGGUACGAUUCCGUAGAGGGAGCAUGAGAAACGGCUACCACAUCCAAGGAAGGCAGCAGGCGCGCAAAUUACCCACUCCCAACGCGGGGAGGUAGUGACG
rnacentral:rRNA from 1 species